AUUGAACGCUGGCGGCAGGCCUAACACAUGCAAGUCGAGCGGAUGAAGGGAGCUUGCUCCUGGAUUCAGCGGCGGACGGGUGAGUAAUGCCUAGGAAUCUGCCUGGUAGUGGGGGAUAACGUCCGGCAACGGGCGCUAAUACCGCACACGCGCUGCGGGAGAAAGUGCGGGAUCUUCGGACCUCACGCUCUCUGAUGUGCCUAGGUCGGAUUAGCUAGUUGGUGGGGUAAAGGCCUACCAAGGCGACGAUCCGUAACUGGUCUGAGAGGAUGAUCAGUCACACUGGAACUGAGACACGGUCCAGACUCCUACGGGAGGCAGCAGUGGGGAAUAUUGGACAAUGGGCGAAAGCCUGAUCCAGCCAUGCCGCGUGUGUGAAGAAGGUCUUCGGAUUGUAAAGCACUUUAAGUUGGGAGGAAGGGCAGUAAGUUAAUACCUUGCUGUUUUGACGUUACCAACAGAAUAAGCACCGGCUAACUUCGUG
rnacentral:rRNA from 1 species